AAACGAUGCGGUAAAUCCUUUUCCAGCCGCCAAAAAAAUCCAAUCAAGCUUCCCUCUUGAAUCGGCUCUUAUCCCCUCUGAAAGGAAAAGUUUGUCCGAGGGGGUUUUCUGGCGAUAUAUCCUAAACCAGGUCGGCUCAUGCUUUCAAUGCCUUUACCAUGGCAGAUAAGCCUGUAGAAAAAAGCAUCCCCCACUUCUCAGUGACAAAGCGAGCGCUCUCAGGUGAUAUUAAAAAAUCCUAAUGGGUGUUGGAACCGUCGAGCUCAACGGCCAUAACUGCAAAUGAGAUUCCUCUUGUGUUGUAUAGUGAUCCGUGUGCAGGGCCGGCUGAGCUGUAGCAAAGGCUCCUCUCUACAAUCGGGGCCGACAGGCAUGAUGAGUUGACACAAAGCUGGUCUGAGCCAUGCCAAUCCCCCAGUGCCACAGGCUCAAUCCAGGCCUGUUCAACUUGUGUACUCCAGGUCUUCAGGUAACCCACAAUCCUCUGCUGCUCCCCUUUGUCAAGCCUGUAAACACAUUAAUCCACGCUCCUGGCCCUGGUCCCUUUUUGAACCCCGGAAGCAGGAAACCAAAAGUUCUCCUUUCCUCUCUGAGGAGCCAAACGGAGAAAAGGUGGUCGUCCUUCUGCGUCCAGCCUCCCUCAUGCAUCUGCAGCGCGACUCAUGCUGUAGCGUCCUCACACCUGGGAUGGUCGUCUGGAAAAUCAA